UACGAAGGGGGCUAGCGUUGUUCGGAAUUACUGGGCGUAAAGCGCACGUAGGCGGACUACUAAGUCAGGGGUGAAAUCCCGGGGCUCAACCCCGGAACUGCCUUUGAUACUGAUAGUCUCGAGUCCGGAAGAGGUGAGUGGAAUUCCGAGUGUAGAGGUGAAAUUCGUAGAUAUACGGAGGAACACCAGAGGCGAAGGCGGAUCGCUGGGCCAACACUGACGCUGAGACGCGAAAGCUAGGGUAGCAAACGGG
rnacentral:rRNA from 1 species